UACUGGGGGUGCUGUUCCAACUCUCUGUCGGAAGAGUUCAAAGAACGCCAAAAUUAUUGUAGAGAUGACAAGCCCGCUGAAGACACUGGAUUACUACUCUGUCGAGGACGGUGAUGAGAUUUCAGUACGGUGGUAAUGCUACGUUUCUUUGUUACAUUUAACGAGGUUUUUAUAGUUUAUUUUGUUGUAUUUUUUAAUAACAGUUUAAUAUUAAUUUUCCCUGUAACAUAAAUAAAGUAUUACCGCAUGUAAAA